rnacentral:rRNA from 1 species
UAUCAAAAACAUGUCCUAUAGAUUUUAAUUUUAGGUCUGACCUGCUCAAUGAAUUUUUUUUAAUUGCUAUAGUAUUUUAACUAUACAAAGGUAGCAUAAUAAUUUGUCUUUUAAUUGAAGGCUAGUAUGAAUGGUUGGACGAAGAUCUAACUUUCUUGACUUAAAUUUAUUAUUGAAUUUAUUUUUUUUGUAAAAAAACUUAAAUGUAGUUGUGGGACGAGAAGACCCUAUAGAAUUUUAAUAUUAAUUGUAUUAUUUAACUGUGGUUUCUGUUUAUUAUUUCUUAUGAUUAAUAUUUAUGCUGGGGUGGUAGUAGAAUUAUAUUAACUUCUAUUAAAAAAAAUCAUGAAUUAGUGUAAAAAUGAUCCUGUUUUAUGGAUUAAAAGAUUAAAUUACCUUAGGGAUAACAGCGUAAUUACUUUGGAGAGUUCUUAUCGAUAAAGUAGUUUGCGACCUCGAUGUUGGAUUAAAGUUAGAGUUAUAGUGCAGAAGCUUAAUUUCUAGGUCUGUUCGACCUUUAAAUCUUUACAUGAUCUGAGUUC